rnacentral:tRNA from 1 species
UCCUGGCUGGCUCAGUCAGUAGAGCAUGUGACUCCUGAUCUCAGAUCGUGAGUUUAAGCCCCACAUCAGGUC